GAUGAAGAACGCAGCGAAAUGCGAUAAGUAAUGUGAAUUGCAGAAUUCAGUGAAUCAUCGAAUCUUUGAACGCACCUUGCGCCCUUUGGACUUCUGAAGGGCAUGCCUGUUUGAGUAUCAUGAACACCUCAACUCCUUAUGGUCUUCCAUGAUGAGCUUGGACUUUGGGGGUUUUGCUGGCCUACAGUCAGCUCCUCUAAAAUAAAUCAGCUUACCGGUGUUUGGUGGGUAUCAUGGGUUUGAUAACUAUCUACGCUCGUGGUUUUCCACCAGGUAACCUUCAGCAGUGGAGGUUCACUUGAGCUCAUAGAUGUCUCUCCUCAGCGAGGACAGCCCUUUGAAUGUUUGAUCUCAAAUCAGGUAGGACUACCCGCUGAACUUAAGCAUAUCAAUAAGCGGAGGA
rnacentral:misc_RNA from 1 species